GAAGAGAAUGAUCAAUAGACCUACACAUAGUUGACACAAAAGGAUUCGUGGGUAAUCCAAGGAUUACCAACGAAGUCCUCAACACAAAAACGAAAAACAAGAAACAUGAGGGGCGGGGGACCCUCCACCUAACAACCCAGCAAACUGAACCUAAUACAAAAUCUCAACACCAUGGUAGCCAGCAGUGAGAGGAGCCAAAGAGAUAACAACGGCAAAGCAUCCGCUAGAGCUCAAGACGGCAAAGCAUUCGUCCAACCAAACUGGCAACCUCGGCAGCAGAGCAUCUACCGGAAAUGCCAACGACCUCGGCGGCAAAGCAUCCGCAGGAACACAGCGACCUCAGCAUCAAAGCAACCGCUGGAAACGCUACCUCAGCGGCAAAGCAUCCGCCGGAAACACCUCGGCGGCAAAGCAUCCGCCGAAAACCCCUCGGUGGCAAAGCAUCCACCAGAAACGACCAUAAGUACGGCUACAACAAACACCAGCUAGAUAUACCAAGGUGAGGAGAAACAAGAAGCCCAAUUAGGUGUAGCAAGGUGACCAGGGAGACCACGCGGGAGGAGCGACGAGCACCGAGUAGGACUUGCGUCCUCAGCCUGUUGUUGACGGUCCUUAAUGCUCAUAUUCAAUCAUCAACUAAUCAUAGAAAAUGAUCCAAAUGCAACCAACACCUAGACUUAGGGUUUUAUCUGACAGAAUUCCACAAGUUUUGGUGUUUGUCUAUUUCUGCAGGGGGUUAUCAGGAAAUACGGAAGAAAGGCCCACACGUCGGGUUUACAUAGAGAUAUUAACGUGCCGCACAAUUAUCUACCAUCUAGAAGAGUCCAGAAGCCACAGGAGCGAACGGGAGACGUAACGGAGCCGGGCACUGGGCGCCCGCCCUCCCUUACUGGGCGCCCGCCCUCUCCCCUGGACCAAUCAGGGCGAAGUUCGGGGAUCAUGCUCCACCGACCUAAUACUUCAAGAAAACCACACGAUCAAUGUCGGUUUGAUCCGACGGCCCAGAUUCACUUGAAGGGACUAUAAAACCAGACCCCCCUGGCCCCUGGAGAUCAUACCUCUUCUACAGAAUCAAAGCUAGGGUUUCAAGUCUUCAUCCAAGUAGAGAGGAUCCCUCUAGUUCUUCUAGUUCUACCUCUAGUUCAUCUAGAUCUAGUUCUAGUUCAUCUAGUUCUAGUUCUAGUUCCUCUAGUUCUAGUUCUAGUUAGUUCUAGUUGUAAUCUAGAAAAUAGGGAGAGAGAAGAGGAGAGCGGAGGAGGAGGAGCCGGAUCUGUCGGAUCUUCCUCAACAUUGUACUUUUGCAGCAACUGGUUCGUUCUUCAUCGUUCUCCAGGUUCUUCAAUUCAUAAUCCUGAGUUCUUUAAUUACUUUUAUUUACAUUCAAGUUAUUUAUUGGAUUCCCGCUUGCAUCAAGUGCUCUAAUCUUUGCAACAUUAGAGUAGUAAUUAAUAGAUUAGACGUGGUGUUUAGUCUUGCAAUUACCUGGAAUUGCACCCAAUCCUGCGGAUUGUUGUGGUAGCCUUAGGGUAGUGACAGCCCUAACGGUCGACGUAUUCCACCUCGUUCGGAUCGGUGUUUGUAGGACCGUAGUCAGACCUUCCUAGCCCCCUUCUCAUCUCUUUCUGUGGUUAGUGCUCUGAUGUCCCGAUAUAGAUAAUCUUGAAGUAAAUCUUGAUUCUUAGAUCAACUAGAGAACUCUCAGGAAACUUCCUCUCUUCCCACCAAAAAUAAUUAUAUAGUUAUCCUUGGGCGAUCUUGGAUCUUAGUUAGUACACUCACGUUCUCUGUGGAAAAUCGAUACUCUGGAAUACUCCCGGGUGAAAGCUACACGGUAUCCGUGCGCUUGCGGAUUUUUCUGUUUGCGUUUAAAAUACCCAACACCUGUAGUAGACGAAGAAGCUUCAGCGACGCCUCCAGGAAGGUAGAUGACGCGUUGCGCCACCGCCGCUGGCCCUGAACAAACGGGCGGGGUUUUCACCUAGAUUCUUGCCUCGGAAACAGGCCACACAUGGCGACCGAAGCAGCAACGACGAACGGCCGAAGCCGCGGCACAGGCGCCCAGGCCGCAGCCUUGACCACGCCACCCACACCGCCACCCAGGACAGCCCUGCCACCGCGCUAACACCGAGCUGUCGCGGGAGCGCAGUUUAGGGCACCGCGAGUGCGCCGUCAGCCGCCAAGGACGGGGGGCACCGGGGCAGUGGCUCGUGGCCGUGAGCUUGGUGAUGGCGCGCUGAGACUGCAUGACCGGACUAGCCCCGGGGAAGGCCGGCGUGGAUCCAUGGACGCCAGAACUGCCCGGAACCGACGAUGCGCCGCCGAGCACAGACGCCGGCCGGCCAUGGCACCGACGGGUCUCCAAGGCGCAGCCGGGUGCCACCCACCGCGAGAGGCCGGAUCCGGCCACCAAGGACACGGAUCCGCCCUGUCGGCCGCCCGGCAAGCCCGCCGCCAAGUCGCCGGAGAGGUUAGGGUUGGGGGAGGGGGGCAAAGGAGCGAGAGGUGGGAGGAGAAGGAGGCAGGGCACAGAGCCGGUGCGGGCCGCCGCCGCCGCGUGCGGGAGGCGACGACGGUGGCCGAGGAGGCGACGAAGGGGAGGAGGAAGGUGGGCGGCGCCGGCGAGCACCCCCGAGUCGCCCGAGAGCGCUCGGGGGUCGUCCUCUAAAUGAUCCUAUAUGUUGCAGCGAUUUGCUCUUGCUGUAGCUGAAUUGAAUGACACCCAUAAUAGAGAGUUACUUGAGCUUUGAAAGAAAUGUUUAUAUAAUAACCAAUUGAAAUAGUAAUAAAAUCCUGAGAAAAGUGAGAUCGUGCUAGACUAGCUAUUUGGCAGUCGUUAGCUAUUUAUUUUUUUUCUUAACAACCAAUAGAUUUUUUUUGUAGACUAGCUAUUUGAGAACCAUUGAGGACGGUCUUAUUAUAUGAUAACAACAUCCGACCAAGUGGUUCUUCAAGAAAAGUACAUUAGUACAUUGCAUAAUUUUUUUUAUAGUUGUGCUGAAAGAGAUCCUAUUCUUCAGCAAAAUGGAAUAAAUGUUUGUUUCGAGCCAAAACAAAUAAAGUGGUACGUAGAAAUGCCAAUUAUUGGAAAGUGGAUACUAGUUUUCUUGUGAGGACAAAAAAAGACACAAUUAAUUCUCCUACUUUGCACAACAUGUUAUUAAAUCUUAAAAUUGAGAAAGUCACUUGGUAUGUUUUUCAACACUAAAAGUACACUUAGUAUGAAACUUAAAAUGGGG
rnacentral:lncRNA from 1 species